rnacentral:rRNA from 1 species
AACGAACGCUGGCGGCAUGCCUAACACAUGCAAGUCGAACGAGACCUUCGGGUCUAGUGGCGCACGGGUGCGUAACGCGUGGGAACCUGCCCUUAGGUUCGGAAUAACUCCCCGAAAGGGGUGCUAAUACCGGAUAAUGUCUUCGGACCAAAGAUUUAUCGCCUUUGGAUGGGCCCGCGUUGGAUUAGCUAGUUGGUAGGGUAAAAGCCUACCAAGGCGACGAUCCAUAGCUGGUCUGAGAGGAUGAUCAGCCACACUGGGACUGAGACACGGCCCAGACUCCUACGGGAGGCAGCAGUGGGGAAUAUUGGACAAUGGGCGAAAGCCUGAUCCAGCAAUGCCGCGGGAGUGAUGAAGGCCUUAGGGUUGUAAAGCUCCUUUACCCGGGAUGAUAAGGACAGUACCGGGAGAAUAAGCUCCGGCUAACUCCGG